rnacentral:rRNA from 2 species
GUUUGAUCCUGGCUCAGGACGAACGCUGGCGGCGUGCCUAAUACAUGCAAGUCGAACGAACUCUGGUAUUGAUUGGUGCUUGCAUCAUGAUUUACAUUUGAGUGAGUGGCGAACUGGUGAGUAACACGUGGGAAACCUGCCCAGAAGCGGGGGAUAACACCUGGAAACAGAUGCUAAUACCGCAUAACAACUUGGACCGCAUGGUCCGAGCUUGAAAGAUGGCUUCGGCUAUCACUUUUGGAUGGUCCCGCGGCGUAUUAGCUAGAUGGUGGGGUAACGGCUCACCAUGGCAAUGAUACGUAGCCGACCUGAGAGGGUAAUCGCCAC